rnacentral:rRNA from 1 species
CCUACGGGAGGCUGCAGUGGGGAAUAUUGGACAAUGGGGGGAACCCUGAUCCAGCCAUGCCGCGUGUGUGAAGAAGGCCCUCGGGUUGUAAAGCACUUUCAGUGAGGAAGAACGCCUGGUGGUUAAUACCCAUCAGGAAAGACAUCACUCACAGAAGAAGCACCGGCUAACUCCGUGCCAGCAGCCGCGGUAAUACGGAGGGUGCGAGCGUUAAUCGGAAUUACUGGGCGUAAAGCGCGCGUAGGUGGCUUGAUAAGCCGGUUGUGAAAGCCCCGGGCUCAACCUGGGAACGGCAUCCGGAACUGUCAAGCUAGAGUGCAGGAGAGGAAGGUAGAAUUCCCGGUGUAGCGGUGAAAUGCGUAGAGAUCGGGAGGAAUACCAGUGGCGAAGGAGGCCUUCUGGACUGACACUGACACUGAGGUGCGAAAGCGUGGGUAGCAAACAGGAUUAGAUACCCGAGUAGUC